rfam:Myotis lucifugus cont2.26109, whole genome shotgun sequence.
GGUGGUUCUUGGGUGACGCACCCCAGAAUCAGGCUCUCUCUUCUCUGGUUCCCGGUGAGUCACCUGAGAACUGCA